AAUGGGCGGAAGCCUGAUCCAGCCAUGCCGCGUGAGUGAUGAAGGCCUUCGGGUUGUAAAGCUCUUUCAGAUGGGACGAUGAUGACGGUACCAUCAGAAGAAGCCCCGGCUAACUUCGUGCCAGCAGCCGCGGUAAUACGUAGGUGGCGAGCGUUGUCCGGAAUUACUGGGCGUAAAGGGCGCGUAGGCGGCCUGUUAAGUCAGAUGUGAAACCCCCAGGCUAAACUUGGGGAUUGCAUAUGAAACUGAUGGGCUCGAGUGUCGGAGAGGAAAGCGGAAUUCCUAGUGUAGCGGUGAAAUGCGUAGAUAUUAGGAGGAACACCAGUGGCGAAGGCGGCUUCCUGGACGAUAACUGACGCUGAGGCGCGAAAGCGUGGGGAGCAAA
rnacentral:rRNA from 1 species